GACGAACGCUGGCGGCGUGCUUAACACAUGCAAGUCGAACGGAAAGGCCCUGCUUUUGUGGGGUGCUCGAGUGGCGAACGGGUGAGUAACACGUGAGUAACCUGCCCUUGACUUUGGGAUAACUUCAGGAAACUGGGGCUAAUACCGGAUAGGAGCUCCUGCUGCAUGGUGGUGGUUGGAAAGUUUCGGCGGUUGGGGAUGGACUCGCGGCUUAUCAGCUUGUUGGUGGGGUAGUGGCUUACCAAGGCUUUGACGGGUAGCCGGCCUGAGAGGGUGACCGGCCACAUUGGGACUGAGAUACGGCCCAGACUCAUACGGGAGGCAGCAGUGGGGAAUAUUGCACAAUGGGCGGAAGCCUGAUGCAGCAACGCCGCGUGCGGGAUGACGGCCUUCGGGUUGUAAACCGAUUUCGCCGGUGACGAAGCGUGAGUGACGGUAAUGGGUAAAGAAGCACCGGCUAACUACGUG
rnacentral:rRNA from 1 species